AUUCCAUGAUGAGGGCACUUCUGUUAUAAUUCUUUAUACCGUUCCCAUGCCUCAUACAAGGACACGUCAUCCAUCUGUUGGAAAGUAGUGAUCUCGUUCCUCAACUU
rfam:Gossypium arboreum cultivar AKA8401 contig_36562_1, whole genome shotgun sequence.